AAGGUUUUAAGUUAAUUAAACUAAUAAUCUUCAAAAUUAUAAUUAAAAAAAUUUUUUUAAGCCUUA
rnacentral:tRNA from 1 species